rnacentral:rRNA from 1 species
UCCAGCAGCCAUAUCACCCUGCAACUCACAACUGGCAACCCACUGAAGCAGCUGUGAGCCUGGUCAGUACCUGGAUGGGAGAGCUCCUGGGAAAAACUAAGGUUGCUGCUGGAA